rnacentral:rRNA from 1 species
UGGGGAAUAUUGGACAAUGGGCGAAAGCCUGAUCCAGCCAUGCCGCGUGUGUGAAGAAGGUCUUCGGAUUGUAAAGCACUUUAAGUUGGGAGGAAGGGCAGUAAGCGAAUACCUUGCUGUCUUGACGUUACUCGCAGAAUAAGCACCGGCUAACUCUGUGCCAGCAGCCGCGGUAAUACAGAGGGUGCGAGCGUUAAUCGGAUUUACUGGGCGUAAAGCGUGCGUAGGCGGCUAAUUGAGUCGGAUGUGAAAUCCCCGAGCUUAACUUGGGAAUUGCAUUCGAUACUGGUUAGCUAGAGUGUGGGAGAGGAUGGUAGAAUUCCAGGUGUAGCGGUGAAAUGCGUAGAGAUCUGGAGGAAUACCGAUGGCGAAGGCAGCCAUCUGGCCUAACACUGACGCUGAGGUACGAAAGCAUGGGGAGCAAACAGG